rnacentral:misc_RNA from 1 species
CCAGUUGGUGUAUAAUGAUGAAAAAGUUAAAAAUUACUUUGAAAGGAAGAUGUGGCAAUGUAUUUCUGAGGAAUUUGAUUUGAAAUUGCUUGUUAAGAAGAUCCUUGAAUGUGGAACUAAUAAUGAGGUGCCUAAUUUAUUAGGAUUAGAACAAUUGCAUAUUCGCCUUAAAGAGAAUUUAGAAGGGAAGAUGUAUUUGUUGGUGUUAGAUGAUGU